AACCAGCUCUUCAAGUGGUCGGGAUAAUUAUUGGGCUUAAAGUGUCCGUAGCCGGUUUAGUAAGUUCCUGGUAAAAUCGGGUAGCUUAACUAUCCGCGUGCUAGGAAUACUGCUAUACUAGAGGGUGGGAGAGGUCUGAGGUACUAUAGGGGUAGGGGUGAAAUCUUAUAAUCCUUGUAGGACCACCAGUGGCGAAGGCGUCAGACUGGAACGCGCCUGACGGUGAGGGACGAAAGCCAGGGGAGCGAACCGGAUUAGAUACCCGGGUAGUCCUGGCCGUAAACGAUGCAUACUAGGUGAUGGUACGGCCGUGAGCCGUAUCAGUGCCGUAGGGAACCGUUAAGUGUGCCGCCUGGGAAGUACGGCCGCAAGGCUAAAACUUAAGGAAUUGGCGGGGGAGCACCACAAGGGGUGAAGCCUGCGGUUC
rnacentral:rRNA from 1 species